rnacentral:rRNA from 1 species
GUGGGGAAUAUUGGUCAAUGGCCGGAAGGCUGAACCAGCCAAGUAGCGUGCAGGAUGACGGCCCUAUGGGUUGUAAACUGCUUUUGUACGGGAAUAACGGUAGCUACGUGUAGUUAUAUGCAUGUACCGUACGAAUAAGGAUCGGCUAACUCCGUGCCAGCAGCCGCGGUAAUACGGAGGAUCCGAGCGUUAUCCGGAUUUAUUGGGUUUAAAGGGAGCGUAGGCGGAGGAUCAAGUCAGCUGUGAAAUGUAGGCGCUCAACGCCUGCACUGCAGUUGAAACUGGUUCCCUUGAGUGCGUAAGAGGCAGGCGGAAUUCGUCGUGUAGCGGUGAAAUGCUUAGAUAUGACGAAGAACUCCGAUCGCGAAGGCAGCUUGCCGGGCCGCAACUGACGCUGAAGCUCGAAGGUGCGGGUAUCGAACAGG